CAGCAGCCUUUCCUUCUGGUGUUUGGCUGUGGUUGCCUUCUGAACCAGCCUUUCGAUCUCGAUACACUGCCAUUUAUCUUUCCUUUCGCCAUAGUGCAAGAAUCCAUAUAUUUUUUGUUUCUAUACGUUUACGCUGGUAUUGUUCCAGGAAAAUAAUGCUGACCCAAAUAGUUUGCAAUCCCUUUAUAACUUAAUCCAGAAAGAAUCCCAGCCAAAGGAAUGUAAGGUUGGGCUGAUGAUUUUGCAACACAAAUAGCAAGUACACCAUUGGC
rnacentral:misc_RNA from 1 species